rnacentral:rRNA from 1 species
GACGAACGCUGGCGGCGUGCCUAAUACAUGCCAGUUGAGCGAUGAAGAUUGGUGCUUGCACCAAUUUGAAGAGCAGCGAACGGGUGAGUAACGCGUGGGGAAUCUGCCUUUGAGCGGGGGACAACAUUUGGAAACGAAUGCUAAUACCGCAUAACAUCUUUAAACAUAAGUUUUAAGUUUGAAAGAUGCAAUUGCAUCACUCAAAGAUGAUCCCGCGUUGUAUUAGCUAGUUGGUGAGGUAAAGGCUCACCAAGGCGAUGAUACAUAGCCGACCUGAGAGGGUGAUCGGCCACAUUGGGACUGAGACACGGCCCAAACUCCUACGGGAGGCAGCAGUAGGGAAUCUUCGGCAAUGGACGAAAGUCUGACCGAGCAACGCCGCGUGAGUGAAGAAGGGUUUCGGAUCGUAAAACUCUGUUGGUAGAGAAGAACGUUGGUGAGAGUGGAAAGCUCAUCAAGUGACGGUAACUACACAGAAAGGGACGGCUAACUACGUG